rnacentral:rRNA from 1 species
UACGGAGGGAGCUAGCGUUGUUCGGAAUUACUGGGCGUAAAGCGCGCGUAGGCGGCUUUGUAAGUUAGAGGCGAAAGCCCGGGGCUCAACCCCGGAACUGCCUUUAAGACUGCAUCGCUUGAAUCCGGGAGAGGUGAGUGGAAUUCCGAGUGUAGAGGUGAAAUUCGUAGAUAUUCGGAAGAACACCAGUGGCGAAGGCGGCUCACUGGACCGGUAUUGACGCUGAGGUGCGAAAGCGUGGGGAGCAAACAGG